UACUGUGCAAUGCAAAGAGGCUUAAAAAGUCUAAAAAUACAUCUCAUACUCUAAUGUUAGUUUAUUCACACAGGUUUUAACAGACAUAAUUCAGACUAGUGAAUAAAUAACGUAUUGGUGAUUAUAAGUUGAAUCAUCUUUUUUUUUUUAGCGUAUAAUACACACAUCGACUGCAGAACUGUGUUUUGGUUAAUUUGCAUUUCGGUCUUUGGAACAUCAUGGAAAGUGGCACAGAACAAAGUAGGAAGAGCAUGAACAAAGAAAUAGCUGUGAAUGUGAAACUUAUCUGAGUUUCAGGAAAGACAGCAGACGCCAGACAGAGACACCAGAGCACCUUUACCGUCACUAACAGUUAUGGGUUCAUCUGUGCACUUCCUUCUGCUUUUCUCAGGACUGUGGGCUCUCGCUUUAUGUGCAUCUCGUCAGUUUUAUGUGGUGAACACAACACUGAACUGGACCGAAGCUCAGCAAUACUGCAGAGUGAAUUACACUGACCUGGCCACCAUCGAGAACGAAGAAGAAAUGAAUGCUGUAAAGGACGUUCUUAACGGGAGAGAAGAACAUUUCUGGAUUGGACUGAAGCAGGUUAAUAGCACUGUAAGCAUUUUAAUUAUUUCAUUAAUUUAAAUAUAAUUGUUUAAACACUGAGGAUAUUUCUGUUUUAAUUUUUCCCUUUGAGUAACUUUAAAAUAAACAAUUUUAACUGAUCAGCCAACACUCUACUCUACAAAAGC